rnacentral:tRNA from 1 species
UCCCCUGUAGCUCAGACGGUAGAGCGCCAGGUGUAACCCAAAUCUCACUGCGGGCGUCACACCACCUGGAAGUCACUGGUUCGAGUCCAGUCAGGGGAA